GACGAACGCUGGCGGCGUGCUUAACACAUGCAAGUCGAACGGAAAGGCCCCUUUGGGGGUACUCGAGUGGCGAACGGGUGAAUAACACGUGAGUAACCUGCCCUUGACUUCGGGAUAACAUCAGGAAACUGGGGCUAAUACCGGCUAGGAAUCCUUGCUGCAUGGUGGGGGUUGGAAAGCUUCGGCGGUUUUGGAUGGACUCGCGGCUUAUCAGCUUGUUGGUGGGGUAGUGGCUUACCAAGGCUGUGACGGGUAGCCGGCCUGAGAGGGCGACCGGCCACCUUGGGACUGAGAUACGUCGCAGACUCCUACGGGCGGCAGCAGUGGGGAGUAUUGCACAAUGGGCCGGAGCCUGAUGCAGCAGCGCCGCGUGCGGGAUGACCGCCUUCGGGUUGUAAACCGCUUUCAGCAGGGGCGAAGCUUGUGGUGACGGUACCUGCAGAAGAAGCACCGGCUAACUACGUG
rnacentral:rRNA from 1 species